rnacentral:piRNA from 1 species
UCUACUCUAAGCCACCACCACAUCGCCGCA